rnacentral:rRNA from 1 species
GACGAACGCUGGCGGCGUGCCUAAUACGUGCAAGUAGAACGCGGAAGAGGGGAGCUUGCUCUUCUUGGAUGAGUUGCGAACGGGUGAGUAACGCGUAGGUAACCUGCCUUGUAGCGGGGGAUAACUAUUGGAAACGAUAGCUAAUACCGCAUAACAAUGGAUGACACAUGUCAUUUAUUUGAAAGGGGCAAUUGCUCCACUACAAGAUGGACCUGCGUUGUAUUAGCUAGUAGGUGAGGUAAUGGCUCACCUAGGCGACGAUACAUAGCCGACCUGAGAGGGUGCUCGGCCACACUGGUACUGAGACACGGCCCAGACUCCUACGGGAGGCAGCAGUAGGGAAUCUUCGGCAAUGGGGGCAACCCUGACCGAGCAACGCCGCGUGAGUGAAGAAGGUUUUCGGAUCGUAAAGCUCUGUUGUAAGUCAAGAACGUGUGUGAGAGUGGAAAGUUCACACUGUGACGGUAGCUUACCAGAAAGGGACGGCUAACUACGUG